rnacentral:rRNA from 1 species
CCUACGGGUGGCAGCAGUGAGGAAUAUUGGUCAAUGGACGAGAGUCUGAACCGGCCAAGUAGCGUGAAGGAUGACUGCCCUAUGGGUUGUAAACUUCUUUUAUAAAGGAAUAAAACGAGGCACGUGUGCCUUUUUGCAUGUACUUUAUGAAUAAGGAUCGGCUAACUCCGUGCCAGCAGCCGCGGUAAUACGGAGGAUCCGAGCGUUAUCCGGAUUUGUGGGGUUUAAAGGGUGCGUAGAUGGGUUGUUAAGUCAGUUGUGAAAGGUUGCGGCUCAACCGUAAAAUUGCAAUUGAUACUGGCAGUCUUGAGUACAGUUGAGGUAGGCGGAAUUCGUGGUGUAGCGGUGAAAUGCUUAGAUAUCACGAAGAACCCCGAUUGCGAAGGCAGCUUACUAAACUGUGACUGACAUUGAUGCUCGAAAGUGUGGGUAUCAAACAGGAUUAGAUACCCCUGUAGUC